GGACGCGACUAACUCAAGCUUAUGCCUCGCGGUUAUCAAGCCUUGCAGGUCAGAUGGUAACAGAUGACUUGAUGCGUAGGUACGAAAACAGGCGAGGAGCAAUGGUAACGGAUAAAGCCGACCGUGAAAGUGUUGAGUCCCGAAAUGACUGUUUUGGAAUGGGCCGAUGGUAUCAAGACGCCAGCAGGCAACAAUACCCCUGGCGUAAAAGGUGAGUCAGGGGUAUCCACCCGGGAUCGUAGGCCG
rnacentral:ncRNA from 1 species